rnacentral:rRNA from 1 species
UGGGGAAUUUUGCACAAUGGGGGAAACCCUGAUGCAGCGACGCCGCGUGAUUUAGAAGGCCUUCGGGUUGUAAAAAUCUUUUCUAUGGGAAGAAAAUGACAGUACCAUAGGAAUAAGGACCGGCUAAUUACGUGCCAGCAGCCGCGGUAAUACGUAAGGUCCGAGCGUUGUCCGGAAUCAUUGGGCGUAAAGGGUACGUAGGCGGGUAAGCCAGUUAGAAGUGAAAUCCUGUAGCUCAACUACAGUAAGCUUUUAAAACUGCUCAUCUUGAGGUAUGAAAAGGAAAGUGGAAUUCCUAGUGUAGCGGUGAAAUGCGCAGAUAUUAGGAGGAAUACCGGUGGCGAAGGCGACUUUCUGGCCAUAAUCUGACGCUGAGGUACGAAAGCGUGGGUAGCAAACAGG